rnacentral:rRNA from 1 species
UUUGAUUUGGUUGAUCCUGCCAGUAGUCAUACGCUCGUCUCAAAGAUUAAGCCAUGCAUGUGUAAGUGUAAAUAUCAAAGUUUGGAACUGCGAAUGGCUCAUCAUCUCAGUUAUAGUUUAUUUGGUGAAGUGUACUACUUGGAUAACCGUAGUAAUUCUAGGGCUAAUACAUGAGAAAGUCCUCUGGUGAGGUGUGUUUAUUAGAAUGAAAACCAUAUGCUUCGGCAUGAUAGUGAGUAAUAGUAACCUAUCGUAUCGCAUGCUUAAUGUAGCGAUGAGUCUUUCAAGUUUCUGCCCUAUCAGCUUUCGAUGGUAGUAUAUGGGCCUACCAUGGCAGUAACGGGUAACGCAGAAUUUGGGUUCGAUUUCGGAGAGGGAGCCUGAGAGAUGGCUACCACAUCCAAGGAAGGCAGCAGGCGCGUAAAUUACCCAAUCCUGACACAGGGCAGUAUCUGGUUGAUCCUGCCAGUAGUGUACGGCAUUGUUCCAGUUGUCCCAGGUAUACAUGUGGUUGCCGUUCUAGUAGUCGCCCCAUCCAUAUUAGGUGGCAGCUGGCAGUAUACUGGCGAUACCUGCGGGGUCGC